UACGAAGGGGGCUAGCGUUGCUCGGAAUCACUGGGCGUAAAGGGUGCGUAGGCGGGUUUUAAGUCAGGGGUGAAAUCCUGGAGCUCAACUCCAGAACUGCCUUUGAUACUGAAGAUCUCGAGUCCGGGAGAGGUGAGUGGAACUGCGAGUGUAGAGGUGAAAUUCGUAGAUAUUCGCAAGAACACCAGUGGCGAAGGCGGCUCACUGGCCCGGUACUGACGCUGAGGCACGAAAGCGUGGGGAGCAAACAGGG
rnacentral:rRNA from 1 species